rnacentral:tRNA from 1 species
AUUUAUAUAGUUUAACAAAAACAUUACAUUUUCAUUGUAAAAUUAAAAUUUUUAAUUUUUAUAAAUA